rnacentral:lncRNA from 1 species
UGACAAGGGGUUGUCGUACAACGACGAGCGUUUGUCAAAAAUACUAAUAAAGGUUAUGUCGAACGACGAAUAUCUUGUCAUAGUUGGUUGAAUCAACAGGGCAAAUAUUAGUAUCAGCCCCAGCACCCAGUCGACCAUUCAUAAAAUUGACGAGGAUUAUGGAGGCUAUUGUGAAAACUACCAGGGUCUUAUUCGUAAUAUGGAACAUAGAUUUGCUUAUGAUUUGUAAUUUAUAUCCUUGUCGAAAGAACCAGCUACACCAUUGCAACAAUACUGAUACAUACUUAUGUAAUCUAUGUCCUUGUCAAAGGUAUCAGCUACACCUUUGCAACACGGACUUAGUUACGCUAGUUAGACGUGUUAGUAGUAACAUAUACAAAGCUGUUACUUGUUAUAUAGGUGGCGCCAAAAACGUUUCCGGCCGUUUCAUUUUGAAAGUUUCAGUUGCGCGCCAACCGCCGUGCAGUGAUGUGGCCUCCUGCGCACUUCCGUGAAAAUGGCUUUCAUCAGGAGCGAAAGCUCCAGCUUGCAAGCAAGGGUCGCUACACUGAAGACAGCAAACUGCAGAAACUCAAGAAUUCUAAAAAUGAAAAAGCACCUGAAUUCCAAGGGGCUUAUGAAUUUGAAUGCCCCUUAGAUUUGAAUGGGUACAGUGUACUCGGUAAGUGAUGACGCUCAUUGCUUUUUCGCAUGCGUUAUUGCCCUUGCCCCUUGGGUCAUGAGUGUUAUCACCAUUGUGUGUGUAAUGUGUAUGUACCAUUUUAAAUACAUGACCUACUUUCA